rnacentral:rRNA from 1 species
UACAGAGGGUGCGAGCGUUGUCCGGAAUCACUGGGCGUAAAGGGCGCGUAGGUGGUGGCUUAAGCGUGCGGUGAAAGCUCGGGGCUCAACUCCGAGUCGGCCGUGCGAACUGGGCUCACUGGAGCAUAGUAGAGGCAGGUGGAAUUCCGGGUGUAGCGGUGGAAUGCGUAGAGAUCCGGAAGAACACCGGUGGCGAAGGCGGCCUGCUGGGCUAUGGCUGACACUGAGGCGCGAAAGCGUGGGGAGCGAUCCGG